CCCCCUCUUCACACGCCUCUGCCCGUCAACAACACCCUGAAACCCGUCGGAAAAGUCAUUUUUUCGGUGUUCCACGUAAGCCCUGGUCCCCCCAUGGCCCCCCUCGCCUCAUCCUCCACAUCACUCAACCAUAACGAUCUCUGACAGCAUAAGAUAUUCCAUUUUUUCCUUUCCCACGCGCUCUUGCUUCUAUGGGAUGAAAUUCGGAUUAAUGGUUGACGUAGGAGUUGAAGACUUUAAAUCCUAGUCUUCCAUUUGUCUUAGAAGCAUCCAGAAAGGAGAACAAGGGGGGAUUUUUGUUUGGGGGCAGAAGGUUUUCGGAUUUGAGGAGGAUCCACACAGAUUUUCGGGUUUUCUUGGAAGACAAGGAUAGAAGGUUCUAGGUUGGCAUAUAUAUGGGGGUGGUAUUUUAGAAUUCAGGGAAGGAGAGAAAAGAAAUCAGAAAAUCGGGAAGGAUGAAGUUCUAGGGUUUUGAUUUUGAUUUCCAGAUUUUUCUCUUCUAAUUUUUGGUUUUUGUUUCCAUAUAUAUAUAUAUAUAUAUAUAAACAAAGAUGAGUUCCUUGUAGUUUCAAUUUUUCUUUUAAGUCAAAAAAUACAAAAAAAAAGAAGCGGUUUUCUUCUUUUGGAUUUUUGAUUCUUGGUUUUCCUUCUAGACCUUCAUUUUAGUUCAUUCAAAAAUUAGUUCAUUUGAAUUUGAAUUUCGCUUCAAAAAUCAGAAAACAAAAACUAUAUAGUGAGUAAAAAAGACUCUAUUUUCUUCACUUCUAUUUCAGAUUCGCAAUUCAACUAUGGAGUUUGAUCGAGGUUUGCCAUGGAGUUGAAGCUGUCUUUCGAGGUCAGCUCGUGGUUCCUUUUACGUCUCGGAUUUCAGUAGAGUAUUUUCCUUUCAAGCUCACUGCUUGGUUUUAUGCUGAUUGUACCAUAUUCGAACAUAGAAGGAUAAUUGAAAUUCCAGUUUUCAGGUUCAUACCUCAUCCUCUACUGCUUUUAUGUGGAUCCAAGUACUAAGUUAAUCUAGUUUGAACGAUUUACCUUCUAUGCUUUGGAUGUUCUUAGAUUCCUUUACAUGUUGAAGUAUCUUUCAAGGUCAGAUUUAUUUAGUUUAAGAUGACCGAGUCAUUGGCUGCGUUUUGUAAGUUUAUCUCGUUUGCUUGCUAAGUCUAGUUUGAAGCUGAUUUGAAGCUCUCUCUAUGGUGGUUAUUCAUCUUUGUCGAACUGGUUCAUCUGUUUGUGAAUGGUAAUCGAGUUUGAUUCUGUUUGGUUUGGUAUGCUUUGACCAAGGUCUAGAUGGUUGUGUUACUGUCAAGUGGAUCAUGGCCCGCUGUAUUUUUCUUGAUGUUGGAGCAUAACCCUGUCCAUGUUUUAGUAGAUUGAAAAGUCAGUGAUUCU
rnacentral:lncRNA from 1 species